rnacentral:rRNA from 1 species
AGAGUUUGAUCCUGGCUCAGGAUAAACGUUGGCGGUGUGCUUUAUGCAUGCAAGUCGUACGGUUCUGCUUGCAGAACAGUGGCGAACGGGUGAGUAACACGUAAGUAACCUGCCCUUAAGUGGGGGAUAACCCCGGGAAACUGGGGCUAAUACCGCAUGUGGUCUUUCCACCCAAGUGGAAAGACUAAAGCCUUCGGGCGCUCAGGGAGGGGCUUGCGUCCGAUUAGCUUGUUGGUGAGGUAACGGCCCACCAAGGCGAUGAUCGGUAGCUGGUCUGAGAGGAUGAUCAGCCACACUGGGACUGAGACGCGGCCCAGACUCCUACGGGAGGCAGC